rnacentral:rRNA from 1 species
GACGAACGCUGGCGGCGUGCUUACACCUGCAAGUCGAACGGAAAGGCCCUGCUUUUGUGGGGUGCUCGAGUGGCGAACGGGUGAGUAACACGUGAGUAACCUGCCCUUGACUUUGGGAUAACUUCAGGAAACUGGGGCUAAUACCGGAUAGGAGCUCCUGCUGCAUGGUGGGGGUUGGAAAGUUUCGGCGGUUGGGGAUGGACUCGCGGCUUAUCAGCUUGUUGGUGGGGUAGUGGCUUACCAAGGCUUUGACGGGUAGCCGGCCUGAGAGGGUGACCGGCCACAUUGGGACUGAGAUACGGCCCAGACUCCUACGGGAGGCAGCAGUGGGGAAUAUUGCACAAUGGGCGGAAGCCUGAUGCAGCAACGCCGCGUGCGGGAUGACGGCCUUCGGGUUGUAAACCGCUUUCGCCUGUGACGAAGCGUGAGUGACGGUAAUGGGUAAAGAAGCACCGGCUAACUACGUG